GAAAACUCUUGGUAAAAUUUUCCAGAGGGUUAAGUCAACCAAUGGGAAUGAGAGUGAACCAGUAGUAAAAGGUUCAGUAGACAAACUGAAUGGAAGUGAAUCAAGCCAUGAUGCUUCCCCAAUUUCAACACUGAAAUCUUCCGGCUAUGAAGAAACAUCUUUUGCAACACAGAGUCCCUAUGUGGAGGCUCCCAAUUUUGCAGGUGCACACUUUAAUAACUAUUUCCCCAGGCCAACACCGCCUCCAGGUGCACAAAGACAUCCGUCGUCCAGCAGGGAUUGAGUGGGUUUGUAUGUAUCGUGUAGGAUAUUGUCUUGUAUUUGUAAGGCUAUAGAUAUGGUUGUAUGUGUGGAUAAUCUUGCUAGAAAGCAGCUGCCAUUCCUUUACUCGGGGGAUGUGUUUGUUGUGGAUAUGUAUUUAACAGACAGACUAAUGGCUGUAGUCGGAACUUCUCAUCAUUCUGGCUGGCUGUGUUCACCGUUGGCCGCUUGGUGGUGAUUCUCGAACCCCUUUU
rnacentral:misc_RNA from 1 species